UCACAGAAAAAAAAAACUUUAUUUAAAAAUAAAGUUAUAUCUCUCGUUUGUCAAGGACUGUGAAAACAAAAAGAAAAGAAAGAAAAAAGAUGUAAUUUCGUUAUUAAAUUUUCCGCAACAUGUUCUCAACCUUGCCGGACUUUUGCGAGGACCCCGGCUUCUACAGACGGGUCAUAGUUAUUGAUUAUUGGUCAACUGUUUUUUACCCCCAAAGAGGAUUAAUUCGAUAAACUAAAUGAAAAAACAAAGAAAGAGAAAUAGUGAAUAAAGUUUUAUGUUUCGCCAAGUUAUACACCGAAGAACUGUAUACUGAAUACCCACCGAUAAUAAAACCAACAACAUUGAUACAGAAAACAAUGAAAUGCUUUAACAGAACAGGGCUAGCGCGAUUAGCAAGAAGUGAACAAGGCCCUUCUGCACCACAGCUCAAAACUUUAUAUCUGCCCUAUUGGAAAUAUUAAUCUUUACCAUCAAUAAUAAUAAUAGCUUAUGACUAUGGAAACAGAAUAUACCUCAAGUCCUGGAUUGACAAUCGAUUGGAAUAUUGACAGAUCUAAUUAUAUGCAGUGACAACAUAGUAAUAGGACGCAUGAUUAUCGCAUGAUUAUUUCAGAUUCCCUCAAACGAAAGUCCUAACCCUCCACGGGACUCGCACAUGUCCACCCAGCGUCUGUGGUCUGAACAUGGGGACUGCCUAAGCCAAGCCUGAAGCAGAACAUAAAGGGAAAUAAAAGGCACAUGACGAUGUUCAAAGAACCGACUUGGCUGAUGAACCCAAGACAAACCUCACCACAGAGUUGAUCCGUCAGUAGGCCAUACAUGGGUAUCGUUCUGCACAUGGACAUGGAGGGAGUGGAACCAUUUAUCCACCAAACCCACAUAUUCAGAACAGGUGAUUUGUAUAUGAUUUUUAUGGUUAUAACGGUCCAUGAGCUGUAUACAUUUUCUUUUGAUGUGAACAAAGUGUUUGCGUGCACAGAAACAGGCUUUUACUGUGAGCAGCGCAGGCUUUAAUGGUGGGAGACGACUGAGUCAUAAACAUGUGGUAUGCAUGUUAUUCCUCAGGUAGGCCGACAUGUUAUAGCCAUCCAUCACCAUCAUGUGUAGACAUCUCCAGAUCUGGUCAGAACACGACGAUGAAGAGGAUUAUCUCACAACAUUAAACCCUAGACGGCCUCUGCUCACUUUCUAAAUAAUUUUGGAAUGACGUAACGCUGCCACUCAAGCUGACUUCUGACUUACGGAGACAACAGAAGGUAACAGAAAGACCAAGUUAGUUUCAAACAUUGAGAUACUGGUCUGCGUGUUUCCUGAACAAAACGUAAUGAUGGAAAAACAAAUAAAUCUGGUUACCGACUUUCUCUCGCUUCUACUAUCCCUCUCACCAUAAAUUAAAUAUAUACAAAGAAAAUAAAAUGAAAAAGAAAUCCCUCCCAUAAAUAAAAACAGAUUUUAAUAAAAAAAAACAGAUCUGUAGUUCUGUAUACAAAAUAAAUAUAAAGGAUAAUAAUUUGAUAACCCAUAUUAACAAUAUAUAGUGUUACUAAUAUCGUUUUGUUAAAUCUCUAAAUAGAUUAACAGUGCAUUUUUUCAUUGAUGACCGGUAGGCCUACCUACUACUAUGGUUUUUUUAUUGAUCUUAAAUAUUUCUUCUCCUGAAUAGGCUGCAGGCAAAUCUAAAACCGAUGUGUUUUCACAUCGUUUUUACCCCAGCUGUCGAGGUGGUAUUAGUGCGCGUUCCACUAUUCCGGACAACCUAGCGAAACAAGAUCAACAACAGCGCCAGGACGAGAACUCUACACCGAUGCGCAAUAAAUCGACAUUUUACGCAAACCUACUUUUUUAUCAACUUUUUUCACAGCCUUUUUUUUUGCGUGGGAGUUCAUUCAUAAACAGACACACCUCUGUCCGUAUGUCAUCAAUCGGCCGGAGAAACAAAUCUUGUUUUCAAACGGUACCCUAGUUCAGUCCAGGUUGUGUAGCAUAAACCCUCAUUAAAUCACAGAUAUGACAGCGGCAGCUCCAAGCCCCUCCCACUUCCGGUGGGAGGUUCAACGCCAGGAAAUUUGUUGUAAAACAAAUGCUUGAUCCAAAACGAGGCAUUUGAUUGCGUUUCUCUACAGGCUUCGCUCGCUCAACCGCACUGAAGUUCCUGUUUUUCAUCAUGUGUGAUCGGUACGCCCGUUCAACUGGAAAAUAUAAAUAAUGCGGGAAACUACCCCCCCCCCCCCACAAGGGUCUCCUCGCCGACGUCCUGACAUGACGAUCUCCUUGGCACAUCACAACCGUUGCAGAGCAGAAGAAAAUAAAAAGCAGACUGAUUUGAAGAUGUGUCUGGCAAGAAGCCAGUCAGUACAGUGUAAAACUAUAUCUUAAGGCCUGCAGUCUGCCCCGUGUGUUUGUGUGUGUGUGUGCUCGCUUGCCUGUGUUAUGUUUUUGUGUGUGUACAUUUGGUGUUUGUGUGUGAAGUAAUUGCGCUUAUUUAUGUGUCUUUUUGUGAGUGUAUGUAUGUUAGUCAGUGUAUGUGUGGGGUCAGAGGUCAGGGCCUUUGUGCCUCACAGUCCAGUGUAAAACUACCUUCAGGGCCACAAAUAGUCUGAAUCAUUUCGCUACAGAGGAGGGGAGUGUGUGUGUGUGUGUGUGUGUGUGUCUUUCUCUUGUGCUCGCCUCAGGUUCUCCGCAUCGAGUUGCUGUGGAGACGGGCAGAGGUGAAGACACCUCUGGUUACUCUCAGCUGAUUUCAUAGAGGGGGGGGGAGAUUCU
ensembl:lncRNA